AAAAACUUAAUUCAUAGGUUUCCGUGUCUAACGUUUGACCGUUCGUCUUAUUUAAAAAAUUAUGAAAAAAAAUUAAAAAGAUAAGACGGACGGUCAAACAAUAAUGUUUUAUCAUCUAACAAUAAUAAAAAUACUAAUAAUAAAAAAAUUUCAUAUAAGACGGACGGUCAAACGUUGGACACGAAAACCGAAGAAUUCGGUCUUU
rfam:Oryza sativa Japonica Group DNA, chromosome 5, cultivar: Nipponbare, complete sequence.